GGCGAACCGUGCGAACGUUGUUCGGAAUCACUGGGCUUAAAGGGCGCGUAGGCGGGCUGCCAAGUCAGGGGUGAAAGCCCACGGCUCAACCGUGGAAGUGCCUUUGAUACUGGCGGUCUCGAGGGAAGUAGGGGCGUGCGGAACUUCCGGUGGAGCGGUGAAAUGCGUAGAUAUCGGAAGGAACACCGGUGGCGAAAGCGGCGCGCUGGACUUCUACUGACGCUGAGGCGCGAAAGCCAGGGGAGCAAAGCGGG
rnacentral:rRNA from 1 species